rnacentral:rRNA from 1 species
UAGGGAAUCUUCCGCAAUGGGCGAAAGCCUGACGGAGCAACGCCGCGUGAGUGAUGAAGGUCUUCGGAUCGUAAAACUCUGUUAUUAGGGAAGAACAAAUGUGUAAGUAACUAUGCACGUCUUGACGGUACCUAAUCAGAAAGCCACUGCUAACUACGUGCCAGCCGCCGCGGUAAUACGUAGGUGGCAAGCGUUAUCCGGAAUUAUUGGGCGUAAAGCGCGCGUAGGCGGUUUUUUAAGUCUGAUGUGAAAGCCCACGGCUAAACCGUGGAGGGUCAUUGGAAACUGGAAAACUUGAGUGCAGAAGAGGAAAGUGGAAUUCCAUGUGUAGCGGUGAAAUGCGAAGAGAUAUGGAGGAACACCAGUGGCGAAGGCGACUUUCUGGUCUGUAACUGACGAUGAUGUGCGAAAGCGUGGGGAUCAAACAGG